UACGGGGGGAGCAAGCGUUGUUCGGAUUUACUGGGCGUAAAGGGCGCGUAGGCGGCCACCGCAAGUCAGUUGUGAAAUCUCUGGGCUUAACCCAGAACGGUCAGCUGAUACUGCGGGGCUAGAGUGCAGAAGGGGCAACUGGAAUUCUCGGUGUAGCGGUGAAAUGCGUAGAUAUCGAGAGGAACACCUGCGGCGAAGGCGGGUUGCUGGGCUGACACUGACGCAGACAGCGCGAAAGCUAGGGGAGCGAACGGG
rnacentral:rRNA from 1 species